rnacentral:lncRNA from 1 species
AGUGGGCGUGCAGGAGAAGCUGUAGGUCAGGAGGUAGAGUUGGCAGUGGGCGUGCAGGAGAAGCUGUAGGUCGGAGAGGUAGAGUUGGCAGUGGGCGUGCAGGAGAAGCUGUAGGUCGGAGAGGUAGAGGUGGCAGUGGGCGUGCAGGAGAAGCUGUAGGUCGGAGAGGUAGAGGUGGCAGUGGGCGUGCAGGAGAAGCUGUAGGUCGGGGGGUAGAGGUGGCAGUGGGCGUGCAGGAGAACCUGUAGGUCAGGGGGUAGAGGUGGCAGUGGGCGUGCAGGAGAAGCUGUAGGUCAGGGGGUAGAGGUGGCAGUGGGCGUGCAGGAGAAGCUGUAGGUCAGGAGGUAGAGGUGGCAGUGGGCGUGCAGGAGAAGCUGUAGGUCGGGAGGUAGAGGUGGCAGUGGGCGUGCAGGAGAAGCUGUAGGUCGGAGAGGGUGCAGAGUGGAGAACAGAUGAGCUGGAGUCACACCAUGCCCUAUACCCAGCCAGAGGCCGAAGUGAGCCUGUCACGGUAAUGCCACUGCCUGCUUGAUUCCCUCCCAUGCCUAGCCUGGGUUCUUCAUGAUCCCUGAGGCCCUCUUUGAUGUCAUCCCGCUGCCUCAAAACCUGUGUGUGCUGGUGGCUCCCUCUGCUUUCCUUCCAGAUGACUCCUUCGCUUCAGCUCAAAUGUCACCUUUGGCUGUUAAAAUCCUUUCCGGAGGAAGUUGUAAACAAUGCCUACCCCUCCUCCCGA